rnacentral:sRNA from 1 species
GACUGUCUGUAUUAGGGCUGGGAGCAGGAACAUGGAUUUGAAGACAUUAAAACUGUUUAAUUCUCAGUUGAGAUGUGGUUGGCUCUUAUACAUUUGGAAUAAAGCAUUUAUGGCACAUCUCAGGGUUCCACAAGAUGAAUGGACAGGGUACACCCCUCGAGGUAAAGAUGAUGAAAUUCCAUGCCGAAGAAUGCGGAGUGGCAGUUAUAUCAAGGCCAUGGGGGAUGAAGACAGUGGAGACUCAGACACGAGUCCCAAGCCUUCUCCAAAAGUUGCUGCGCGGAGAGAAAGCUAUCUCAAGGCUACUCAGCCAUCCCUUACAGAACUCACCACACUCAAAAUCUCCAAUGAACACUCACCCAAACUCCAGAUCCGGAGUCAUAGUUACCUGAGGGCAGUGAGUGAAGUCUCCAUCAACCGGAGCCUGGACAGCCUGGACCCUGCAGGCUUGCUCACAUCACCAAAGUUCCGCUCCAGGAAUGAGAGCUACAUGCGAGCCAUGAGCACCAUCAGCCAGGUGAGCGAGAUGGAAGUGAACGGGCAGUUCGAGUCCGUGUGCGAGUCCGUGUUCAGCGAGCUGGAGUCGCAGGCCGUGGAAGCGCUGGACCUGCCCAUGCCCGGCUGCUUCCGCAUGCGGAGCCACAGCUAUGUGCGGGCCAUUGAGAAAGGCUGCUCCCAGGACGACGAGUGCGUGUCCCUGAGGUCGUCCUCGCCGCCGCGCACCACCACCACCGUUAGGACCAUCCAGAGCAGCACGGUGGAACUGGAGACAUCGCGUACUUCCACCCUUGCAGGCUCAGACGAAAGAAAAAAGAGCAAGAUUUAUGACACAACCUACUCCUUUUGUGAGGCAACUUAUCCUUGUCUGCUGUUACAUUGAAGGAAACUGACAGUGAUGAUUUGCAGGAGACUUUUGGUUAUAACUUCUCCUUUCUUCUGUGGGGCACUCGAGGUAGGAUUCCUCUAUAAUAUUAGGAAGUCAUAAAAAUGCAAAAGUCCUAUCAGACACAGAGCAAGAUUUAAAAUCUGAAGAAUACCAUGUGCUUCCAUCUCCUGCAGUUGUUUUGAAGUACAUAAAUCACCUCUUGGGAACGGAGUGCCAACCUUGAGGGGCUAUGCCUCACAGACAGCCAACAAGCAAGUCCACCUUUGCCCACAUUCGGGGUUAUUGCAUGGCAAACAGUGAAGGGGCUUCCAGGGUUUUCUGGCACACUGGCCUUAAAGGCUGUUGUAAGGUUCACAUGAGAUCAUUCACAAGGAAGCAUUAUGCAAAUUACAAAUUAGAAUGCCCUACUUUGGCUUUGAUUUUAAAUCUCUCAAUCUGGCUUAGUUUAAUAAUAAUGAUAAUAGCUAACCUUUAAGCACUUAUUAUUUGACAAGCAUACAAACAGCUGCAUACAUUGUCUAAUGUAACCGUAAUGAAUACUCUAUGACUUGCACAUGAUAUUAUCAUUUAAAUCAAACAGAGAAAAAAAAAUGUAAGACUUAGAGAGGUUACACAACUUGACUAGGCCACACAGCUAGUAAGUGAAAUUCUCUCUGUAAUCACCAAUAAAUGCCUUGGAAACUAUGGUAUAAUCUGAAAUAAUUUAAUACAAAUCCAUUUAUAGAAUAAAAGGCCUAGGAGCUUUUUUCUUUCAUUCUUUCCUCUCACAAAUAUGCAUUUAGCUUCCUGCCAUAUUUGAAAUCUGUAUUUUCUAUAUCAGUUUCUAAAAAAUUCUCUUUUUUAAAGAAACAUUUUUUCACAUAUUAUUGACAUGGCCUCUCAUGUUGGUUUGCCUGUGAAAUAUCUGUUUAAAGAAAAAGAUGAAAAAAA